rnacentral:rRNA from 1 species
GACGAACGCUGGCGGCGUGCUUAACACAUGCAAGUCGAGCGGUAAGGCCCUUUCGGGGUACGACGAGCGGCGAACGGGUGAGUAACACGUGGGUGACCUGCCCUUACGCUCUGGGAGUAAGCCUGGGAAACGUGGGUCGUAAUACCGGAUAUGACUCCAUAACGCAUGUUGUGGGGUGGAAAGCCUUGUGCGGCUAGGAUGGGCCCGCGGCCUAUCAGCUUGUUGGUGGGGUGAUGGCCACCAAAGGCGACGACGGGUAGCCGGCCUGAGAGGGCGACCGGCCACACUGGGA